CCUACGGGAGGCAGCAGUGAGGAAUAUUGGUCAAUGGACGAGAGUCUGAACCAGCCAAGUCGCGUGAAGGAUGACUGCCCUAUGGGUUGUAAACUUCUUUUAUAUGGGAAUAAAAUGCUCCACGUGUGGGAUUUUGUAUGUACCAUAUGAAUAAGGAUCGGCUAACUCCGUGCCAGCAGCCGCGGUAAUACGGAGGAUCCGAGCGUUAUCCGGAUUUAUUGGGUUUAAAGGGAGCGUAGGUGGAUUGUUAAGUCAGUGGUGAAAUUUUGCGGCUCAACCGUCAUAGUGCAGUUGAAACUGGCAGUCUUGAGUACAGUAGAGGUAGGCGGAAUUCGUGGUGUAGCGGUGAAAUGCUUAGAUAUCACGAAGAACUCCGAUUGCGAAGGCAGCUCACUGGACUGCAACUGACGCUGAGGCUCGAAAGUGUGGGUAUCGAACAGGAUUAGAUACCCCAGUAGUC
rnacentral:rRNA from 1 species